rnacentral:rRNA from 1 species
AGAAGAGGAGCAGCGAACAGAAAAUGGAGAUGUACAUUUUCUAUUCGCGUUCCAAAGGAUCGGACAUCCAAACGGUGCGAAGCUGCAAGAUGGUUAUUGGGAUUCAGUUUCAGCCUCUGGGUGGAAAGGAGAAGUGAACAGGGCAAUUGUCUGUGUUGAUAUGCUGAAAGAAUAGAAUGUCCUUCCUUUAAAGAAGAGAAGUGGGCUUUAAUUUGUGGAUGCAGCAGCAGCAGCAGCCAACAGAGCAGAGCAGAGCAUUCCAAGAAGAGGAGGGACAUCCAAAGGUGCGAGGUGGUUAUUGGGAUUCAGCUUCAGCCUCGCACCACUGCUUGACAAGAAAAUUUUUGUGCCUGUAAAUUAAAUUGGUACGGCAGUAGAACUGUGUUUUUUC